rfam:Salmo salar isolate Sally breed double haploid chromosome ssa05, whole genome shotgun sequence.
GGCAUGGUGGCCAAGUGGUAAGGUGUUGGUCUUGUAAAAAGAAGAUCAUGGGUUCAAAUCCCUUCUGUGCCU